GGCCUGCGGGUUGUAAACCUCUYYCGRAWGGGACGAAGGGUUCUGGGGUGAAUAGCCCUGGGAUUUKACGUUACCUUCAGAAGAAGCACCGGCUAACUCCGUGCCAGCAGCCGCGGUAAUACGGAGGGUGCGAGCGUUAAUCGGAAUUACUGGGCGUAAAGCGUCCGUAGGCGGUUUGUUAAGUCUGAUGUGAAAGCCCCGGGCUUAACCUGGGAACGGCAUUGGAUACUGGCAGGCUAGAGUCUGGUAGAGGGUGGUGGAAUUCCCGGUGUAGCGGUGAAAUGCGUAGAGAUCGGGAGGAACACCUGUGGCGAAGGCGGCCACCUGGACCAAGACUGACGCUGAGGGACGAAAGCGUGGGGWKYWAACAGGAUUAGAUACCCUGGUAGUCCACGCCCUAAACGAUGUCGACUAGCCGUUGGGUUCUUUUAGAGCUUAGUGGCGCAGCUAACGCGAUAAGUCGACCGCCUGGGGAGUACGGCCGCAAGGUUAAAACUCAAAUGAAUUGACGGGGGCCCGCACAAGCGGUGGAGCAUGUGGUUUAAUUCGAUGCAACGCGAAGAACCUUACCUGCCCUUGACAUCCUGGGAAUCCCUGAGAGAUUGGGGAGUGCCUUCGGGAACCCAGUGACAGGUGCUGCAUGGCUGUCGUCAGCUCGUGUCGUGAGAUGUUGGGUUAAGUCCCGUAACGAGCGCAACCCCUGUCCCUAGUUGCCAUCGG
rnacentral:rRNA from 1 species